GGAGUGCUCGAAAGAGAACCAGUACACAGGUGCUGCAUGGCUGUCGUCAGCUCGUGUCGUGAGAUGUUGGGUUAAGUCCCGCAACGAGCGCAACCCUUGUCAUUAGUUGCUACGAAAGGGCACUCUAAUGAGACUGCCGGUGACAAACCGGAGGAAGGUGGGGAUGACGUCAAGUCCUCAUGGCCCUUAUGGGUAGGGCUUCACACGUCAUACAAUGGUACAUACAGAGCGCCNCCAACCCGCGAGGGGGAGCUAAUCGCAGAAAGUGUAUCGUAGUCCGGAUUGUAGUCUGCAACUCGACUGCAUGAAGUUGGAAUCGCUAGUAAUCGCGGAUCAGCAUGUCGCGGUGAAUACGUUCCCGGGUCUUGUACACACCGCCCGUCACACCAUGGGAGCGGGUUUUACCAGAAGUAGGUAGCUUAACCGUAAGGAGGGCGCUUACCACGGUAGGAUUCGUGACUGGGGUGAAGUCGUAACAAG
rnacentral:rRNA from 1 species